UGCCAGCCGCCGCGGUAAUACGGAGGGUGCGAGCGUUACUCGGAUUUACUGGGCGUAAAGAGCACGUAGGUGGUUUGGUAAGUUUGAUGUGAAAGCCCUGGACUCAAUCCAGGAUGUGCAUUGAAUACUGCCAGACUCGAGUACAGGAGAGGUGAGCGGAAUUCCAGGUGUAGAGGUGAAAUUCGUAGAUAUCUGGAGGAACAACGGAGGCGAAGGCGGCUCACUGGACUGUUACUGACACUGAGGUGCGAAAGCGUGGGGAGCGAACGGGAUUAGAAA
rnacentral:rRNA from 1 species